GGAAAUGUAGCUCAGUGGUAGAACACUUGCCUAGCAUGCAUAAGGUCCUGGAUUCAAUCUCCAGCACUGCCA
rnacentral:tRNA from 1 species